rnacentral:lncRNA from 1 species
UUAUUUAUGAAACCCAAUUUGCAGAUGUUUCCAACGAAAAAACUUUACAUUUUUGUUUUGAGUGGGAUGAAGCUAAAGUUUCUAAAAUGCCGUGCAAUCAUGUAUUGUUCAGCUUGUUAAAGUCCUGUAAGAAAAUUCAGAGUUUCCAAAAUAUCUGAGAGAGAAAGUUUACCAGCUUCUAUUGCGUUCCUUGCAGCAAUUCUGAAAUCAUUGACUAUUUGAGGGAUUUCAUCUGUCCUUAGACGCCUCGGAGGUGUGAACUCCAUGCCUUCAACUUGAGAAGAUAUUGGCUUGUCUGUAGAAGAGACUGGAGCUUGCCCAUCUGGCUGGAAACCUGCAAAUGCCAAUAAUAUAGAAAAAUUAAUUAGUAACCAUAUUAAUCUUUUCAUUUUUUGAAAAUGACUUUGCUAAUCAUAUUAACUGACAAGAAAGUAUGGCCCAUGAACACAAAGCAACACUAAUCAUUGUUACAGAUACUGGAAACAAAACUUUAACAUGCUAGGAACAAAAUUAAAAUCUAUGCAUCAAUGAGAUUAAAGGCAAUAACUCACCGCUAUUUGACACCCUCCCAACAUGCCAAAUUUGACAGAAGAAAAUACCUCCUUUGGCAUGGACAGCAUCCACGAUGGGCUUCCAUGCUUCGACUUGCUCUCUGGUCCAAAUACCUGGAGCGUGCAGGUACCUAUAUAUAUUCAAAUGUAAGAUUAUGAACACACUGAAGUGUCAGUGUAACAAAACCAAAUAUUGAAUUUACGUUGCUCUUUCCAGUAAUCGCAACAAAAAGUAGAAAGUUAGAUUGAGUAUCAGGCAUGGCUGAUGGAAUUACCCUUGUGCUGUGUCAGAAACUCCAGUGGCUUCAGAUAUGAGAAGACCCCCCUUCGUGGCUCUCUGGGAGUAGUAUAGAACGGCAUGCGGCUGAGGAACAUUAUCGUAAGAUCUCUGUCUAGUCAAUGGUGCCAGGACAAUUCUGAAAAAAACAUGUAAUUAAUCACUGAAGUAAUUAUAAUAAAAAUGAUAGUCAAAGAAAGCAGUAUAUCCAUCGCAUUAACUAUUUAUUAAACCUGGGAAUUUACAUGAUUAUAUUUCCCGGGCAUGAGUGGGUGAUGAAAACCAGGAAAUCAAAGAACAAACAACUACGAUACGGGUAAAUUACCUAAAGCAUUACCCAACAAUAGUAAAAAAGUUUUGGAUGAUCUUAUAACAAAUUCAUUACCCAACAUAUCAAAGGAAACAGAAAAAUCAAGAAGAAAGAAAAAGGAAAGGUCAUCUACUAAUUUCUUCUUCGAGUCAUACAUAUCGAUUUUUAAUGAUCAACAAGACUUCACAGAAGAAUUCUGAACACAGAAGCAGCAUUUUGCUGCUGAAAACAGAAAAGCUAACUGAGAUCACAGCAAGUCAUCUACAUCGAACCAUGCAAAUUCAAGGAAAUGGAUAUACACGAAACCAUACUGUACAUUAAAGAAAAGGGAGAUAGCGUGAGUAAUCAGGUACCUGUGAGAAAGAUUAAACUUGCCCAUCUUGUAUGGGGUGAGAAGAGGCAACGUGGGAGUCUCAGCAACCAUUCUUUCUUGCAGUUGAUUAAUUGUUAUUGUGGUGGUUCACUAAGAACUUGUAGGAGUAGGUAUGAGAGAACCAGGUAAGCGUGGUGGGCUAUUUAUAGUUUUAAAUGCUUCUUUUGACUUGGAAAAAAAAAGUGAUGACGUUUGCAGGUACGUAUUACAGAGGAGGGAACAAAUUUGAAAGGUAGAAUCCAUCUUUAUUAUAAUUAUUUUGAAGGGUAUUAUAGAAUUUGAACCUGGACGCAGAAAUAGAAGAAUUCAGAUUGUCGUCAUUCAGGCUUCAGCCCACGGAUGAGUUGCUACUGUUCUAAUACAAAGGUCACGGGUUAAUUGCACAUAUGGUCCUUGUACUAUUUCAGUUUGAUUAAUUGAGUCCCCCAACUAUUAAUUUCAUGCAUUGUCUGAAAGAAAUUAAAUUAACCGAGGAAAAUAUUUAUUUUCCUAAAAAAGUUCAUGAAUCAGUUUUCUUGAGUUGGAUUGAACUUAUUAUCGAGUUCAGUUUUCAAUUAGAAAUUGUCCUCUAUCAAAAACAUAUUUUGUGUAUCUAUCUUAAAUCCCUAACACUUUAUGCGGACCAUCUUAUCAUGGAUCUCAAACACAACAUAUUUGUAUGAGUCGUUUCAUUAUAAAUUUUUAACACAACACCUUUGUGUAGGCCGUCUCAUCAUAGAUCCCACCACUUAGAUUUUAAAUAACAGUAAUUGAUGCAAACAGAAACAACGCGCUAGUUCCUAGACAUUUUUUUCUCGAGAGAGAACCUUCUUAUUCCCUCCUACACAACAUGUCAUGUUCUACAACAUCUUUCGGUCAUGGUUGUUCUACAACACAAAACAAAGAAAAAUAAUCAUCAAGGAUUGUGAAGCUUUAAAAUCAAUUGAUGCAAACGAGAAUGAAGGAUAAAAAAGUUUGUUACAUGUCAAAACCAUCAAAUACUAAAAACAUCAUGAGUAUAGGAAGACAACUAAAAUAUUUAAUUUUUAUUCAUCAUUGUCUCCCCUUGUCAAAAAGUUAUUACAAUUUUUUAUAUAGAAAAAACUAAAAAACUUUAAUAACAUUGAAUAGGAAAAAUAUUCUCUAAUAAAAGAAAUUAAAAAUGCAUAAAUGUUAUGUUCCGAGAUCAUUCAGCCGCCUUGGAUUAUUUUGGGCGGAGGUGAGGAGAAAUGUCAUUUGACUAUCAAAUGUUAAAAGAGGAAGAUCCGAAUAUUGUUAAUUCGAUUGCAUAAAAAAUGAUGAGAUCUUUUUUUAUAUAAUAUAGUAUCAUAAUCAGAUAACAGGCCCCACGUCAUGUCAUGGUUUAGAACAAAAUUAGCCUUUCUAUAAAUGUUAAAAUAGUAAUAUAUACAGUAGCUAUUAAUUGAAAAAAAUAAAAAAAAAUAAAAGAUCCAUCUAAAUUAUACUUGAAAAAAAAAUCCAAUGCUGCAAAAUAUCACUUUCUUUUCCAAAUUCUCUUACAAAUUUGCUUAUUUAGUCUAGAAGUACAUAUAUUUAUUUUUAGAACUGGCCUGUUAAAAUAACAAACAUCUUAGUUAUUUUUUAAUUUAAUUUAAUGUAACAAUAAAUAUUUAAAAUAUUAAUAUUAUAUAUAUCGUUACAUUUUAUAAACUAUAUAUAUGAAAUAUUAAUUUCUUCUCCUUCUCCUAUUCCCCUAUCUCCACCUAUCCUUCUCUCAAUCUUAGUUAUUAAACCCAGAUCGACCCGGUAGAUCGAUCCGGGACUCGGUCAACUCGGUGAUUGGACCGAUCCGGGUAAGACAAAAGAUCGGGAUGAGAAAAAACCCGGCAAAACCAGGUUGACCCGUGACCCGGGCGACUCGACAAAACCUGGUUGAGACCCGGUUUUUUUUUUCAAAUGUGUUUUUUCUUAGAUAGAGACUCCUUUUCUAUAUAUAUAUAUAUUUUUAGUUAAUUAGUAACCCUUUUCAAAGUUCACUAUAUAAAUAUUAGAAGAAUGUUUUAAUUUUUAAAUAUGAGAUUUGAAACCCUUUAGUAUAUAUAUUUUAUGUUUACAAGAAAAUAAUUAUUUUUUCAAUAUGAAAUUUGAAGUUUUUUAGUACAUAUACUCUAUAUUCAUAUGAAAAAAGUUUUUUUUUUCGACGUAGGAUAAAAAAUCUUUUGAAAUAAUCUCUUAAACCUUUUUGUAAUUUUAGUUUUUAUUUGAAUAGAUAUAUUAAUUAGUAUGUUAGUUGUUUUGACAUUUUUAAAUAAUGUCAACACUUUUAGACGAUUCUAUAUUUAAAAAAAAUCAACAAUAGCUAAUUAAAUUUAUAUAUAUGCCUCUCCCCCUUCUCUCUAUCUCUUGAAAAAAUCAAAUCUUACAACCUAUUUUUUGCUAAAGCAGUCAUUUAGCGAAUCACUAGCGAUAUAUAACAUCUUCUUUUUUUUAUCCUUAUUCAUGGUUUUAAAUUAUGUGGUUUUUAUUAUUAUUAUUAUUAUUAUUAUUAUGUGUUUAGAGAUCUAGCUAGACUUUGUAUUUAGAUAUGUUAAAGCUUGAUAGAGAAGAUUCAUAAUAUUUAAUGUUAGAUUAAAGUCCAACGGUUGUUUCUAGCUUGAUAGAGAAGAUUCAUAAUAUUUAAUGACUUUGGAUCUUUCAUCGACGAUUCUAUAUGUUCGAGAUGUAAUCAACUCCUGUAUAGUCAACUCAAAUUUUAAAAAAAUGUAGAGGGUUUUAUUUGUCAUCUGAAUUAUUAAACGUCAUCAUCAUCGAUAAACAAAAUAUACUAGAAAAUUAGCAAAUAUAAAUAGAUAUAUCAACAAAAUAUUUUUGUUGGUAUACUAAGACAAAUUUUUUCGAUUGAAUAUAUUAUUGCCGUAUCUAUCGGUAAACACAUACAUAAAUAUUAUCUUGAUAUAUACUGAGAGAAUUACAGUAAAAAAAUAAAUAAAUCUAAUAAAUAUGAUGAUGUGUUAUUUUUAUAGACAGAAUUACUGAUGGAUUCAAAUCUAUCGAUAAAUAAGAGUUUGAGCGAUAAAAAUGAAUUUAAUCUAAGCCAAAUGGUAUUAGAGGUAAAAGAAGAAGAAGAAGAAGAAAAUAGGAAACCUUAAAUUUGAGAGAAAAAAAAAAGAUAGCAAGAGAAAAAGAGAGUUCUAGUUGAAAAUAGAGGUAAAUAGAGAUGCUAUGAAACAACUAGUAGAAAAGGGGAAAGAAUGAAAAGAAAAGAAAAAUAAAAAUAAAAACAAAACAAACAAAAUGUAAAAAUCUAAGAGAAAUAAAAACCCGAAGUAGAGAGAGAUCAUGCCAUUAAAUUGUUUUAUUUUAUAUACUCACGAAUAUUUAAAGAGAAUAAAAUAUUUAUUUUUUAUUUUAAAUAUUUUAUAUAAUUUCAUCACAUUAAUUACUCUAUUUGUUUUAUACAUAUAUAAACAUUAUUGAGUCAUGAUUGUUUUUUUUUUAAAAAAAAAAAAUUAUACCACAAAUAAAAAACACAUUUUUGUAAAAAAAAAAAAAAACAAAUACAUGAAUAUAGAAAGAGUUAUGAUUGAAAAGAUACAUAUUUUUUCUUAGUUUAAAUUAUUAAGAUUUUUAUAUAUUUUUAUUUUAAUUGCCUUUAAUUUUUAUUUAUAAAAACAUAUUACUAAUAAAAAAAGAUAUAUUUUUGUCAAAAUAAAAAAAUACAUGAAUCAAAAAGGAAAAUUUGGAAAAAAAUACAAUUUUUUUCUUUAUAACUUAAAUUUUUAUCUUUCUUACAAAUAUCUAUUGUAAUUGAAAACUGAAUUACUUCAUAGUAUCUAGUUCAAUCUGAAAUGUGUAUUGGUGACCAGAUGCUGGUCUACAAUCUGCUUUUAUUAUUGAAUUAUAACUAUUUUAAUGGUUUACAAAACAUUUAAACUCAUAGAAACAAUAAUUGAGAGCAAUUAGACGACAACAAUAAAAAUACUUAGAGAACACAAGUUUCAACUAUGGUGACUCAAAACCCUACGCAGUGUCUUCAAGGAAAGGAUAAUCAGUGUAACCAACAACAGGAUCAUGUGUAUAAAAUGUUUCUCUGUUGUACUUGUUGAGAGGAGCAUGAAGUUCAAAUCUCCUCGGCAAAUCCGGAUUUGCCAAGAACAAGCGACCAUAAGCGACAAGGUCUCCACGGUUCUCUUCAACAGCUUUGUUUCCAUCUUCCCUGUCAUAACCACCAGCAACAAUGAAUGUACUGUUGAAAGCCUUCCUCAUAGGCAGCAGACUUUCAGAGAAUUUUGGAUUCCCUGCGCCUAUCUUCAUUCUUGGCUCAACCAUGUGGCAGUAAGCAAUACCGUAUUUAUUCAAGGAUUUAACCAUGUAGAGCCCUAGUGCUUCCGGAUCCGAGUCUCCUGAUUCCAUAUAGUUUACAUGAGGAGACAGUCUUAUUCCAAGUUUAUCUGAUCCUAUCUCAUUCGCUAUAGCCUCAACUAUUUCCAAAGGGAAUCGGCAGCGGUUCUCUAGUGAUCCACCAUAUUGGUCUGUUCUGUUGUUUACUUGAUCUUUCAUAAACUGGUCAAUUAGAAAUCCGUGAGCCCCAUGGAUCUCAACUCCAUCAAAACCUAUAAAAAGCGCAGAACAAGCUUUAAGUGAUGGUGUAUAUUAUUUAUGAAACCCAAUUUGCAGAUGUUCUAACUUCAUUUCCAACACAAAAACUUUACAUUUUUGUUUCGGGUGGGAUGAAGCUAAAGUUUCUAAAAUGCUGUGCAAUCGUGUAUUGUUCAGCUUGUUAAAAUCCUGUAAGAAAAUUCAGAGUUUCCAGAAUAUCUGAGAUAGAAAGUUUACCAGCUUCUAUUGCGUUCCUCGCAGCAAUUCUGAAAUCAUUGACUAUUUGAGGGAUUUCAUCUGUCCUUAGACGCCUCGGAGGUGUGAACUCCAUGCCUUCAACUUGAGAAGAUAUUGGCUUGUCUGUAGAAGAGACCGGAGCUUGCCCAUCUGGCUGG